CGUAGGGUGCGAGCGUUAAUCGGAAUUACUGGGCGUAAAGUGUGCGCAGGUGGCUGAGCAAGUCGAGUGUGAAAUCCCCGGGCUUAACUUGGGAAUUGCGCUCGAAACUACUUGGCUCGAGUGUGGCAGAGGAAGGUGGAAUUCCAGGUGUAGCGGUGAAAUGCGUAGAGAUCUGGAGGAACACCGAUGGCGAAGGCAGCCUUCCGGGCCAACACUGACGCUCAUGCACGAAAGCGUGGGGAGCAAACAGGAUUAGAUACCCUGGUAGUCCACGCCCUAAACGAUGAUGACUAGUUGUUGGGGGAGUUAAAUCCCCUAGUAACGCAGCUAACGCGUGAAGUCAUCCGCCUGGGGAGUACGGUCGCAAGAUUA
rnacentral:rRNA from 1 species